rnacentral:rRNA from 1 species
UACGUAGGGGGCAAGCGUUGUCCGGAAUCAUUGGGCGUAAAGCGCGUGUAGGCGGCUUGGUAAGUCCGCUGUGAAAGUCCAGGGCUCAACCCUGGAAAGCCGGUGGAAACUGUCAAGCUUGAGUCCGGAAGAGGCGAGUGGAAUUCCUGGUGUAGCGGUGAAAUGCGCAGAUAUCAGGAGGAACACCAAUGGCGAAGGCAGCUCGCUGGGACGGUACUGACGCUGAGGCACGAAAGCGUGGGGAGCAAACAGG